GCAUCAACGGCAAGCUCCAUGAGAUAUGGAGGUCACAGUGGCGGUAGAAUCCAUGAGAUGUGGAGGCCGCAGGUGGUGGCAGACUUCGUGAGAUGCGGAGGCCGGUGUAGGUGGCCAUGGCUACCAUCGCAGGAGGGUUCGUGUGCUUAUGGCGAACACAAGUGCAGCGGCAAGGUUUUCGUGGUGACGCAGGAGGGUUCGUGUGCUUAUGGCGAACACAAGUGCAGCGGCAAGGUUUUCGUGGUGACAUGCGGCGGCACUGGAAGGAAUGCGUCGUCCACGGCAAGGUGAUGUUGUG
rnacentral:lncRNA from 1 species